rnacentral:rRNA from 1 species
ACAAAUCAUCCGCCUGAGAACUACGAGCACAAACGCUUAAAACUCUAAGGACUUGGCGGUGCUCUAAACCCACCUAGAGGAGCCUGUUCUAUAAUCGAUAACCCACGAUUCACCCGACCACUUCUUGCCAAAACAGCCUAUAUACCGCCGUCGCCAGCCCACCUCAUGAGAGCACAGCAGUGAGCUCAACAGCCCACAGCCCACUAACAAGACAGGUCGAGGUAUAGCCUAUGGAGUGGAAGAAAUGGGCUACAUUUUCUAAAAUAGAAUAACCCAACGAAAGGGGGCUUGAAACCUGUCCCCAGAAGGCGGAUUUAGCAGUAAAGCAGGAUAACC